CCUACGGGAGGCAGCAGUGAGGAAUAUUGGUCAAUGGUCGGGAGCCUGAACCAGCCAAGUCGCGUGAGGGAGGACGGUACAGUGUAUCGUAAACCUCUUUUGUCAGGGAACAAAGACUGGGACGCGUCCCCGGAUGAGUGUACCUGAAGAAAAAGCAUCGGCUAACUCCGUGCCAGCAGCCGCGGUAAUACGGAGGAUGCGAGCGUUAUCCGGAUUUAUUGGGUUUAAAGGGUGCGCAGGCGGUUUGUUAAGUCAGCGGUCAAAGCCCGGGGCUCAACCCCGGCCCGCCGUUGAAACUGGGAGUCUCGAGUUGGAGAGAGGUAUGCGGAAUGCGCGGUGUAGCGGUGAAAUGCAUAGAUAUCGCGCAGAACUCCGAUUGCGAAGGCAGCAUGCCGGCUCCACACUGACGCUGAGGCACGAAAGCGUGGGUAUCGAACAGGAUUAGAUACCCGGGUAGUC
rnacentral:rRNA from 1 species